rnacentral:lncRNA from 1 species
UCAAUGGCUGGUGUCAAGCAAAGGAACAAGUUUAUAAUAAUACAAAGUACGCAUUUUGAGGGGGUUGGGGAAGCUGGAUCAGCACACCUUGUAACAGGUAUCCUUCCCGUUAUUUUUUCACUAAAGGAGAAUGAAUGCCAUAAAUACUGUUUCUAAUUUCCCCCCUUUAUUCCAAUGAACUGAAUCCGAAUUCAUGGGGUUGAAUUCUAUGAUGGCUGCAAAUGACACCAUCAGGGCAUGUAUCUAAACUGUCAACUACUUUAAAAAUCAAAAUGAGUUGAGUUAGAACAGAGGAUGUACACUGAGCUCAUUUUGUACAAUUACAUUUACAGCACUGUAUUGAGAGGGAGAAACACCAAGAACCUAAAUUGCUACCUGACUAACCCAAUUCAUUUGCAAUUUCAAGAUGGGUUCUUCACAAUCUUAACAUUGCUGUAGAAACGCUUCAG